AGACAGGAGGCCCUCCAAGCAAAGGAACCACUCAUGUCAAGACAUGGGGCAAAAAGAGGACGUAUUUGGAGAACAGAGAGUAACUGAAGGCUAUCAUUCAAUCAGUGAUAGUCUUCAUGGAGGUUAAUAUCAAAGGAAACCUGAAUUUCCUCAGACUUCAUGAGCUGGCGGUGAAGGGCGCUGGAUCCAGGGCAAAAAUGAAGACAUAAGGGACCUUAGGUGACAAGGAAGAAGCUCCCAGGCAGCAUGUGGGAUGGACCCAAGGAGAACGUCAGAGAGAAAGAGUUCAGUCUGGUGUCUCCUGAAGCAGGUUAAAAUUAAGCUCGGCAGGCUCGAUGUAAAUGUGCAGACAAAGCAAAGCAGGAAGCCUCCCACACUAAAAAGGGAAGAUAAGAAUCACAGAAGCUGGGAUGGUUUUUAUUGAAGGGCAUUUCAAAGCAAAUACAGACAUCUACAGCAUAUUUGUAAAUCCUCCGUAUGUGUAUGGAAACACACACCUUCACACAUCAAAACUGGAUUUGUUCCUGAGUAACAAAACGUCCUAAGAACAAAAUGAAAGAAAACCAAAUAGCAGAAAAAUACUUCCAAUGUAUACCACAAAGGAUUAUUUAUUAACUCAACACACCAAGAGUUAAGAAAAUAAUGCAACAGGAACAAAGGGCAAAGGAUAUGUACUGGGAAGACCACAGAGAAAGAAAAUGCAAAUGGCUAAUAAUAUAAAAUAUUUCCUAGGUUCAAUAGUAACCAGGGAAAGACAAAAUUACACUUUUGACCUCUUAGACUGGCAGUGACAAAGAUUAUUUGAGUGACCAAGCUUUAGUCAGGCUCUUGGAUCUUCUAGGCCCAUCUGGGCACUUCCUGGUAAAAUACAGUUUUAACAAAAGCCCUGCUAAAUUGGUUUACCGAGAACUCCCACCCUCAAUCGAGUUCCUUAGCCCUUCACCUUUCCUCAGGUGAGGGCUGAUCAUCCUGUCCUGUCUUCAGCAAGAGUGCUCUAACGCUGACGUUUCCUUUUAGUAAUUUUCCAUCCACUGACACCCACUUGUAAUUUAUAGCCAAGGAGCAAGAUACACUGCUCCUUGGCUAUAAGUUAUUUUCCCUGUUACAUUCAGAGUUGAGCCCAAUCCCUCUCCCCGACUACAAAAUCGAUAGCAGUGGUCCCUAUACCUAUUGCAAUGGUCCUAAAUAAAAUCUGC
rnacentral:lncRNA from 1 species